rnacentral:pre_miRNA from 1 species
AGCUUUCGAUGGCUAGAAAAUCCUUAGUGAUUUUUUAGCCCGCGGAAGUUGU